AUUGAACGCUGGCGGCAGGCCUAACACAUGCAAGUCGAGCGAGCGGCGGACGGGUGAGUAAUGUAUGGGGACUGCCCGAUAGAGGGGGAUAACUACUGGAAACGGUAGCUAAUACCGCAUACUAUCGGAUAACCCAUAUGGGAUUAGCUAGUAGGUGAGGUAAUGGCUCACCUAGGCUACGAUCCCUAGCUGGUCUGAGAGGAUGAUCAGCCACACUGGGACUGAGACACGGCCCAGACUCAUCCGGAGACAGCAGUGGGGAAUAUUGCACAAUGGGCGAAAGCCUGAUGCAGCCAUGCCGCGUGGAUGAAGAAGGCCUUCGGGUGGUAAAGUACUUUCAGCGAGGAGGCGUUACUCGCAGAAGAAGCACCGGCUAACUCCGUGCCAGCCGCCGCGGUAAUAC
rnacentral:rRNA from 1 species